rnacentral:rRNA from 1 species
UAGGGAAUCUUCGGCAAUGGGGGGAACCCUGACCGAGCAACGCCGCGUGAGUGAAGAAGGUUUUCGGAUCGUAAAGCUCUGUUGUUAAGGAAGAACGAGUGUGAGAAUGGAAAGUUCAUGCUGUGACGGUACUUAACCAGAAAGGAACGGCUAACUACGUGCCAGCAGCCGCGGUAAUACGUAGGUCCCGAGCGUUGUCCGGAUUUAUUGGGCGUAAAGCGAGCGCAGGCGGUUAGAAAAGUCUGAAGUGAAAGGCAGUGGCUCAACCAUUGUAGGCUUUGGAAACUGUUUAACUUGAGUGCAGAAGGGGAGAGUGGAAUUCCAUGUGUAGCGGUGAAAUGCGUAGAUAUAUGGAGGAACACCGGUGGCGAAAGCGGCUCUCUGGUCUGUAACUGACGCUGAGGCUCGAAAGCGUGGGGAGCGAACAGG